rnacentral:rRNA from 1 species
UAGGGAAUCUUCCACAAUGGACGCAAGUCUGAUGGAGCAACGCCGCGUGAGUGAAGAAGGUCUUCGGAUCGUAAAACUCUGUUGUAAGAGAAGAACGUGUGUGAGAGUGGAAAGUUCACACAGUGACGGUAACUUACCAGAAAGGGACGGCUAACUACGUGCCAG